UAAACUUGAUCAGUAAGAGCACUGAACAGUGCUCGUAGUGUAUAUCGGAACAUAUCCCAAGAUCUUGGUCAAAUUUUGUAGAGUUUCUUGCACUCUUUUGAAAUAUGCAGAGAAAGUUCAAGAUUUUCGAAAACUGACGAAACGUCGUUCGUUUUUCGAAAAUUAGGGAAACCCAAUUUUCGUGAUUUUUAUUGAAAAUUUUACACGAAAUUUGCCAAUCUUUGUGCUGGUGUCGACUUUAUGGGCAUUAUUGUGGGAUGUAUUCAGAUUUUCUAAUCCAAAUAAUAUUACUCAAAUUUGAUACACUCAUACCUGGAGGAAUAAAUGACCAGACAUCGUAUGAUGUAUGACAUUGAAGACCACAUAUCAAUUUGCUGGUAAAGACUAACAAAAAAAAAAAACACAAAAUACCGGUCAAAACAUUCAAAUCA